AGACGAUGAAGUCAAACACAUGUUUAAAAUGGUUUGAUUAAAUGAAAUGAUUACGUGUGUAACGCUUAAUCACGAUUAAUCGUGAUGCGUGUUCCAAUCACAUGUUCAAAUCAUUUGUUCUUAAUCGUCUGAAAACAUCCUCGACGUCAACAAACAUCUGUAAUACAGACUCACGCACUGGUAAGAAAUGGAUUCUGUGCCCAGCUCUUCAGAGUCUGUACAGCGUCACCCUCACCUGCAGUCUCUUUUUUUUUUUUCUUAAAUCCCUUUGCAAAUAUUACUGCAGUGUCUGCACGGACGGGGGGGAAAUUGGAGGUCUUUCAGUGUUAGCUCUGACAGAUUUUUUUUCUUUUCCCUCUGCGACACAUUACAAACAAUUCACUGUCUACUUACCCUGUAUUUAAGGCAAUUUUCUCCCUGCAUGACAGGAAUGUGGCAUACAUUAAAGUCAAGUCAGAGUGGAACCCACUGUUUCAGGCGCUCAGUCAAAAGCCUCACCUCCAACCUCUGCAUUCCAGCACACCUGCUAAUAAUAAAGGAAUCACGCCGUGACAAUCCACAUUGAACCACGCAUACAUGUGCAUGAGACCACCAUUUUAUUCUAUUAUCAGCAUUAGUCCUAAUUACCAUCUGACUGUGGACUAUCAGAAAUACUGGGAGGCUUCACGCUCUGUUAGGGUGAAAGGUACCGCCGUCAGUAUUUCUCUUGUCUUUGUUGCCCGUAGCGUCCAUAGUAAUUGGAAAGUGGUGGUGUGAGAUGGAGCCUUGCCUGGAGGGGGAGGAAUGCAAGACGCUCCCUGACAACUCGGGCUGGAUGUGCUACGCCGGCAACAAGAUCAAAACCACAAGGAACACCCAGCCAUACACGACAUCCACCUAUUAACACCUGCUGGAAAAGGAUGCAACAAAAUGCCCUCUGGUGCGAGGGUUAAUUUGGAGCGCCAUCACAGGACCAAUUACCACAAAGACAAUAAAACCCGUGUUGCUCUACAAAAUCCGAGCACUUCUCUGAAUUAAGUGUUAAAAGAAACAAAAAGAUGUAAAAAUACACAAAGCACAUCCUGCGCCUGAGAAAACUGACUACGAAGAGCCCGCAGGCGAUGUCAUCACGACCAUGUAAUGAAUAUAGUUUCAUCGUUUCUUUUAAAACCUGCUGAUGGAGUGCUGCAGAAUGUCAGGGUUUUGGACACAGCAUCUGAUGUCGCUCCUUCACAAACUGUAGGACAGACGAUUGGAGCACGGCAGAGAGAGUAGAUGAAAGGACACGCAGUGAGCGGAGAGUCGUCAGCCCUCAGGAGUUUAUUUCCUUCUUUCAGUACACAAAGAGGACAGAAUAUUGUACAUAUGUUCUUUGUCAGUUUUUGUGAAUACAAACUAGAUUCAUGGUGGUGUUGGUGAAUAUCGAUCCUUUGAGUCCCUGAAUGCAUCGUCGAUCCCACUUUUCGCACAGCACUACAUGGCCAAACUGCCGAGGGGUGCAAGGAUUUGGGCGGAUUAAACAAAUACGUCGACAUGAGCUUGUCUGAAAAAUACUGCGUCUGUGUCUUCAUCCUUCACAUAUUACCACUGGUUUGUGUGGUAUUUGUUCUCUUUGAUGAACUCCAACCGCUCCCCUGACGGGGUUGAGUCACAGAAAUGGGCAAACAAACGUGGGUUGAUUUUUGGACACAGGAAAUGCCUUAUUUGUGUCGAGUCAUUCACGUGAUGAUGAUGUUGUAUAUAUGAAGCCAUGGAUUGAUAUGUGCUGAAAACGUUAUUAAAGUCACUGCUCCAGGAACCGUGA